rnacentral:rRNA from 1 species
UACGUAGGGUGCAAGCGUUAAUCGGAAUUACUGGGCGUAAAGCGUGCGCAGGCGGUUUUGUAAGCCUGUCGUGAAAUCCCCGGGCUCAACCUGGGAAUGGCGAUGGAGACUGCAAGGCUAGAGUUUGGCAGAGGGGGGUAGAAUUCCACGUGUAGCAGUGAAAUGCGUAGAUAUGUGGAGGAACACCGAUGGCGAAGGCAGCCCCCUGGGUCAAAACUGACGCUCAUGCACGAAAGCGUGGGGAGCAAACAGG